rnacentral:lncRNA from 1 species
CUGAGGAACAUGAUUAUCGUUCCUGAAAUGAUUGGAAGUGUUAUUGGAAUUUAUAAUGGAAAGACUUUCAAUCAGAUUGAAGUCAAGCCUGAGAUGAUUGGCCACUAUUUGGCUGAGUUCUCUAUCUCAUAUAAGCCUGUCAAGCACGGUAGACCUGGUAUUGGUGCUACUCACUCGUCAAGGUUUAUACCACUCAAGUGAUCUGGUCGAGUUCUCUAUCUCAUAUAAGCCUGUCAAGCUCGGUAGACCUGGUAUUGGUGCUACUCACUCAUCAAGGUUCAUACAACUCAAGUGAUUUGGGUGCCAAUGUCUACUUUUGCUUCUGUUCUAGCCUUGUCUGAACUGUUUCGUACAACAAUUUUGAUGUGAGACCAAGUGUUAUUACUGUUUAGUUUG